rnacentral:lncRNA from 1 species
UCGAAAUGUGAUUUUCACUUAAUAGAUAUUAUAUUUGUCAUUUCAGGGUAGAUUCUACAAUUAAUUUUUCAUGUAAUUAGGAGAUAACGAUUAGUAGGUUUAUUAAGAAGAAAAGAAAUUUGGAGGGUAACAUUUUUAUUCUUUUUACAUAGAAGGUAAGAAAUCAGUUAUUUUUUAUAAGAGUAGACAAAGGGUAAUUAUAUUCACACCACAAUUUUUAUUUCUUGUUCCACAUUUUAAUUGUACUUAAAGUAAUCUUUACUCAUUGUAGCACUAUAUCCCUAACAAUUCUUCAUAUCAUUAUUAUCCUUAAACUAUAUAUUAAUCAACACAUUUUGUAUUUAACAAU